AGAGUUUGAUCCUGGCUCAGAACGAACACUGGCGGCGUGGAUAAGACAUGCAAGUCGAGCGAGAUUUUUUCCUGUAGCAAUACAGGGAAAAGUCUAGCGGCGAACGGGUGCUUAACACGUGGGCAACCUGCCGAGAAGUGGGGGAUAGCUCGCCGAAAGGCGAAUUAAUACCGCAUGUGAUCAGAGAGGACAUCCUCUCGAAAUCAAAGUCGGGGCAACCUGACGCUUUUUGAGGGGCCCGCGGCCUAUCAGCUAGUUGGUGAGGUAACGGCUCACCAAGGCUUUGACGGGUAGCUGGUCUGAGAGGACGACCAGCCACACUGGGACUGAGACACGGCCCAGACACCUACGGGUGGCAGCAGUCGAGAAUUUUUCUCAAUGGGGGAAACCCUGAAGGAGCGACGCCGCGUGGAGGAUGAAGGUCUUCGGAUUGUAAACUCCUGUCAUUGGGGAACAAGGUGUAUACGUUAACUGCGUGUGCAUUGAUAGUACCCGAAGAGGAAGAGACGGCUAACUCUGUGCCAGCAGCCGCGGUAAUACAGAGGUCUCAAGCGUUGUUCGGAUUCAUUGGGCGUAAAGGGUGCGUAGGCGGCGCGGUAAGUCGGGUGUGAAAUCUCGGGGCUUAACUCCGAAACUGCAUUCGAUACUGCCGUGCUUGAGGACUGGAGAGGAGACUGGAAUUUACGGUGUAGCGGUGAAAUGCGUAGAUAUCGUAAGGAAGACCAGUGGCGAAGGCGGGUCUCUGGACAGUUCCUGACGCUGAGGCACGAAGGCCAGGGGAGCAAACGGGAUUAGAUACCCUAGUAGUCC
rnacentral:rRNA from 1 species